ACUCCUACGGGAGGCAGCAGUAAGGAAUAUUGGUCAAUGGACGCAGGUCUGAACCAGCCAUGCCGCGUGGAGGAUGAAGGUCCUCUGGAUUGUAAACUUCUUUUAUCUGGGAAGAAACCCACGGAUUCUACUGUGGUUGACGGUACCAGAUGAAUAAGCACCGGCUAACUCCGUGCCAGCAGCCGCGGUAAU
rnacentral:rRNA from 1 species